CCUACGGGAGGCUGCAGUAAGGAAUAUUGGUCAAUGGACGAAAGUCUGAACCAGCCAUGCCGCGUGGAGGAUGAAGGUCCUCUGGAUUGUAAACUUCUUUUAUAUGGGACGAAACAAGGGUUUUCUAACUCGUCUGACGGUACCAUAUGAAUAAGCACCGGCUAACUCCGUGCCAGCAGCCGCGGUAAUACGGAGGGUGCAAGCGUUAUCCGGAUUCACUGGGUUUAAGGUGGGUGUAGAUGGGUUGGUAGAAAUCUCCGAGCUUAACUUGGAAACUGCCAUUGAGACUAUCAGUCUUGAAUAUUGUGGAGGGCAGCGGAAUAUGUCAUGUAGCGGUGAAAUGCUUAGAUAUGACAUAGAACACCAAUUGCGAAGGCAGCUGGCUACGCAUAUAUUGACACUGAGGCACGAAAGCGUGGGGAUCAAACAGGAUUAGAUACCCCGGUAGUC
rnacentral:rRNA from 1 species